UUGAACGCACAUUGCGGCCAUGGGCUAGCUCAUGGCCACGCCUGUCCGAGGGUCGGCUUAUAAACUAUCACGACGCCCAAAAAGUCGUGGCUUGGGUCUUGCCAGCUGACGUGAUUUCCCUAUUGGUGCAAACUAACGGGGUGUCAGAUCUAUGGCGUUUCCCUAAUAAUUCCAGUUACAACCUCCUUUUGGCUGAAGGCUAUAUUGGAGGGUGACUGUGGAGUCGUGGCUCAAUGGUUAUGUUUGCGCGCGCUCUGCAUUGUCACCACUGUAUCUGUCAAACGUGAAAUGCUUUGUGCAUUUUACCUGACCUCGGAUCAGACGUGAAUACCCGCUGAACUUAAGCAUAUCACUAAGCGGAGGAAAAGAAACUAACAAGGAUUCCCUUAGUAACGGCGAGUGAACAGGGAAAAGCCCAGCACCGAAGCCUGUGGCCAUUUGGUCAUUAGGCAAUGUGGUGUUUAGGUCGUUCCACAGAGGUUCUGCUCCAUCCUAAGUCCAUCAAUGAGUACGGUAGUAUGGACAUGGCCCAUUGAGGGUGAAAGGCCCGUGGGGGUGGAGACAUCGAAAGGCCAGAGCCUCUCUGGGUAGACCUUGGAGUCGGGUUGUUUGUGAAUGC
rnacentral:rRNA from 1 species